UUUAAAUGUAAAAUAAAUAUACUAAAGUAGUAUUAGUUAUGUUCUUGAAAUUUAAAGAUUUUGGCGGUAUUUUAGUCUAUUUAGAGGAACCUGUUCUAUAAUUGAUAAUCCACGAUUAAUUUUACUUAGUUUCUAUAAAUUUGUAUACCGUCGUUAUAAGAAGAUUUUAAAAGAAUAUAAAUUUUUAAUAUUUUAUAUAAAAAAAUAUAUCAGAUCAAGGUGCAGUUUAUAGCUAAGAAGAAAUGGGUUACAAUAAAUUUAUUUAUACGGAUUAGAGUUAGAAUAAAGCUUUAUGAAGGUGGAUUUAAUAGUAAUAAAAUUAAUUUAAAUUUUAUGAUUUUAGCUCUAAAAUAUG
rnacentral:rRNA from 2 species